rnacentral:rRNA from 1 species
UACGUAGGGUGCAAGCGUUAAUCGGAAUUACUGGGCGUAAAGCGUGCGCAGGCGGUUUUGUAAGUCUGACGUGAAAUCCCCGGGCUCAACCUGGGAAUUGCGUUGGAGACUGCAAGGCUGGAGUCUGGCAGAGGGGGGUAGAAUUCCACGUGUAGCAGUGAAAUGCGUAGAGAUGUGGAGGAACACCGAUGGCGAAGGCAGCCCCCUGGGUCAAGACUGACGCUCAUGCACGAAAGCGCGGGGAGCAAACAGG